rnacentral:rRNA from 1 species
AGUGAACGCUGGCGGUAGGCCUAACACAUGCAAGUCGAACGGCAGCACAGUAAGAGCUUGCUCUUACGGGUGGCGAGUGGCGGACGGGUGAGGAAUAAAUCGGAAUCUACUUUUUCGUGGGGGAUAACGUAGGGAAACUUACGCUAAUACCGCAUACGACCUACGGGUGAAAGCAGGGGAUCUUCGGACCUUGCGCGAUUGAAUGAGCCGAUGUCGGAUUAGCUAGUUGGCGGGGUAAAGGCCCACCAAGGCGACGAUCCGUAGCUGGUCUGAGAGGAUGAUCAGCCACACUGGAACUGAGACACGGUCCAGACUCCUACGGGAGGCAGCAGUGGGGAAUAUUGGACAAUGAGCGCAAGCCUGAUCCAGCCAUACCGCGUGGGUGAAGAAGGCCUUCGGGUUGUAAAGCCCUUUUGUUGGGAAAGAAAAGCAGCAGGUUAAUACCCCGCUGUUCUGACGGUACCCAAAGAAUAAGCACCGGCUAACUUCGUG